GGAUCCAGACUUUGAUCCUGGCUCAGGAUGAACGCUAGCUACAGGCUUAACACAUGCAAGUCGAGGGGAAACGACAUCUAAAGCUUGCUUUUGAUGGGCGUCCACCGGCGCACGGGUGAGUAACGCGUAUCCAACCUGGCCAUCACUUGGGGAUAACCUUGCGAAAGUAAGACUAAUACCCAAUGACGUCUCUAGAAGACAUCUGAAAGAGAUUAAAGAUUUAUCGGUGAUGGAUGGGGAUGCGUCUGAUUAGCUUGUUGGCGGGGUAACGGCCCACCAAGGCGACGAUCAGUAGGGGUUCUGAGAGGAAGGUCCCCCACAUUGGAACUGAGACACGGUCCAAACUCCUACGGGAGGCAGCAGUGAGGAAUAUUGGUCAAUGGACGAGAGUCUGAACCAGCCAAGUAGCGUGCAGGAUGACGGCCCUAUGGGUUGUAAACUGCAUUUAUAAGGGAAUAAAGUGAGUCUCGUGAGACUUUUUGCAUGUACCUUAUGAAUAAGGACCGGCUAAUUCCGUGCCAGCAGCCGCGGUAAUACGGAAGGUCCGGGCGUUAUCCGGAUUUAUUGGGUUUAAAGGGAGCGUAGGCCGGAGAUUAAGCGUGUUGUGAAAUGUAGAUGCUCAACAUCUGCACUGCAGCGCGAACUGGUUUCCUUGAGUACGCACAAAGUGGGCGGAAUUCGUGGUGUAGCGGUGAAAUGCUUAGAUAUCACGAAGAACUCCGAUUGCGAAGGCAGCUCACUGGAGCGCAACUGACGCUGAAGCUCGAAAGUGCGGGUAUCGAACAGGAUUAGAUACCCUGGUAGUCCGCACGGUAAACGAUGGAUGCCCGCUGUUGGUCUGAAUAGGUCAGCGGCCAAGCGAAAGCAUUAAGCAUCCCACCUGGGGAGUACGCCGGC
rnacentral:rRNA from 1 species